CGCUGGCGGCGUGCCUAAUACAUGCAAGUCGAACGGUCUUUCUAUGGAAGCUUGCUUCCACUGAGAAGAUAGUGGCGAACGGGUGAGUAACACGUGGGUAACCUGCCCAUAAGAGGGGGGAUAACAUCCGGAAACGGGUGCUAAUACCGCAUAGUUUUCUUGAUCGCAUGAUUGAGAAAGGAAAGACGGCCUUUGUGCUGUCGCUUAUGGAUGGACCCGCGGCGUAUUAGUUAGUUGGUGAGGUAACGGCUCACCAAGACGAUGAUACGUAGCCGACCUGAGAGGGUGAUCGGCCACAUUGGGACUGAGACACGGCCCAAACUCCUACGGGAGGCAGCAGUAGGGAAUCUUCCGCAAUGGACGAAAGUCUGACGGAGCAACGCCGCGUGAGUGAAAGAAGGUUUUCGGAUCGUAAAACUCUGUUGUCAGAGAAGAACAAGUUGGAGAGUAACUGCUCCAGCCUUGACGGUAUCUGACCAGAAAGCCACGGCUAACUACGUGCCAGCCGCGGC
rnacentral:rRNA from 1 species